UACGUUCCCGGGCCUUGUACACACCGCCCGUCACACCACGAAAGUCGGUAACACCCGAAGCCGGUGGCCCAACCCGUCAGGGAGGGAGCCGUCGAAGGUGGGAUCGGUGAUUGGGGUG
rnacentral:rRNA from 1 species